rnacentral:rRNA from 1 species
CGAGGACGAACGCUGGCGGCGCGCUUAAUACAUGCAAGUCGAACGAGAAGCCAGAGCUUGCUCUGGUGGAAAGUGGCGAACGGGUGAGUAACACGUGAGAAACCUGCCCCAAAGAUUGGGAUAAGCCUUGGAAACGAGGUCUAAUACCAAAUACCUUCUUUUUAACACAUGUUAAAAAGAAGAAAUGCUCCGGCGCUUUGGGAUGGUCUCGCGAUCUAUCAGCUUGUUGGUGAGGUAACGGCUCACCAAGGCAUCGACGGAUAGCUGGUCUGAGAGGAUGUCCAGCCACAUUGGAACUGAGACACGGUCCAAACUCCUACGGGAGGCAGCAGUAGGGAAUCUUGCACAAUGAGGGAAACCUUGAUGCAGCGACGCCGCGUGCGGGACGAAGGCCCUAGGGUUGUAAACCGCUUUCAGUAGGGACGAAAGUGACGGUACCUACAGAAGAAGCCCCGGCCAACUAUGUG